rnacentral:rRNA from 1 species
UACACUCCUACGGGAGGAAGCAGUGGGGAAUAUUGCACAAUGGGCGCAAGCCUGAUGCAGCCAUGCCGCGUGUAUGAAGAAGGCCUUCGGGUUGUAAAGUACUUUCAGCGGGGAGGAAGGCGAUAAGGUUAAUAACCUUGUCGAUUGACGUUACCCGCAGAAGAAGCACCGGCUAACUCCGUGCCAGCAGCCGCGGUAAUACGGAGGGUGCAAGCGUUAAUCGGAAUUACUGGGCGUAAAGCGCACGCAGGCGGUCUGUCAAGUCGGAUGUGAAAUCCCCGGGCUCAACCUGGGAACUGCAUUCGAAACUGGCAGGCUAGAGUCUUGUAGAGGGGGGUAGAAUUCCAGGUGUAGCGGUGAAAUGCGUAGAGAUCUGGAGGAAUACCGGUGGCGAAGGCGGCCCCCUGGACAAAGACUGACGCUCAGGUGCGAAAGCGUGGGGAGCAAACAGGAUUAGAAACCCCUGUAGUCCC